CUUAAGGAUCUCAUUUUGCUUCAACUAUGCACUUUGCCUAGACCACCAGUAGGGAAUCUUCUCUGCUGCACGCUCUUUAAGGAAAGAAAGAAAAGAAGAACACAAAGAAGGACUUUUGAAUCCCACAAGAAGACAGCCUUCACUUGUCAUCAUCCCCUCAGAUUACCUACCCCACCAAAGACAGCGCUAACUCCUCGAGGGCCUGAGAGAGUAGAGCGACGGUGGAACAUUUCUAUCAUUUGGCUCCUCUUUGUUCACUGAGAAAUCAUACGUUAAUUAUUUGAUAAGCGUGCUUUACGCUCUGCAUGCACGUCUAAGAUUAACCUGCACACAGGAGUCUAAAGUCUUAUUCUUGUGGAUCCGCACACACAUCGUUGAAUUCUGUGUCCUGUUUAAAUACCACCCUUAACUAGAGAAAUGGAGGAGGCUAUCUGACAAUUAAGAACACUGCGAGAAAGAACCCUGAAACUCACUCUCCUUUUAGGUGCUGGUGAUGCUUUACUGUGAAGUCUCUUGGAAGGGGUUUUGUGUUUUGCUGUCAGUUGCUUCUGCAGAACUUCAUGAUGUUUAUAAACCCUUUACCAGAAAGUUGUUGAGCAGAAGAAACACAAGGCAAUAAAUCCCAAUGGCCUGGGUGCUCCCCACUGAGACCUAUUCCUCACCACCUUUUCCAGCCAAAUAGCACUGGCUUUUGUCUGCUAAGAACACUACCCACCAUGAUCCAAAACAGAGCACUCCAGCAUCCAAGACGGUAACGGCUGAGGUAAUGCUUUUUGAAAUUACUGAAUCCUGACAACCUUGGUUCUAUUACUGACCAUGCUAAACCUUGGCAAUAUUCAUUAUUCUCCCAGUGUUCUUGUAAGUUUGUCCCAGCACUUUUCCUACUACCAACUUCAAGCUUUUACAGUCCCUCAGUCUCAGAUGUACACCUCAGAAGUUCUUUCUUUUUUCUAUUUGAAAUCAUUGAUUAAAUAACGAUGGAUACAUUAUAUAUGUAUCAAUUUACAUUUUAUAUGUAUCAAUUUGCAUGUAUGUAUGCAAUUUACAUUACAUAUGUAAAUUCCAAAGUUCCAUCGGAGUUUCUGGAUUAAUUUUUUUUAAGUAAAAAUUGUAUGGGAUAGAGAAAUAACUGAGUUGGUAAAAGUGUUUGCAGGCAAGCUUGAAAACGGAAUUCUGUCCACAAAUCCCAGAUGAACACGGUAUGUGGAGAUGUGUGCUUGCAAUUUCAAUGCUGGAGGGGCAGAGAUGGAAGGUUCCUGUGGCUCAGUGGACACCCUGUAUAGCCUAAUUGGUGAGUCCCACACCAAUGACAGACUUGUGUCAUUGAUGAACAGCAACUGAGGAACAACAGCUAUGGUGUCCUUCGGACCCUAUACAUAUCUAUAUCCUCUCACAUAGGAACAUGUGCAUACAGAUUGAAAAAUCUGUGAAAUAGCA
rnacentral:lncRNA from 1 species